rnacentral:tRNA from 1 species
GCCGAAAUAGCUCAGUUGGGAGAGCGUUAGACUGAAGAUCUAUAGCUUCCUGGUUCGAUCCCGGGUUUCGGCA